rnacentral:lncRNA from 1 species
CACCAGUGUCAAACUCAUCAUCUGCGCCUCGGUUCCCCAUUCAUAAAGGGAAGAAAUGAGGACUCACACUUUGCUACGGGGGAAAAUGACCCAACGGAGGUAGCCAGUGAGUGAAUUCUGAUUUUUCACAUCUGCUGCACAUACUUGCAGCCUGGCCAAUGCGUUGCUCCUGCCAGCGCUGAGGAGGAAGGCAUCGCUGCUCAGAGGCUCAAAUACCCAGCAGGAAACAGCUCCUGACCUGCAGACCUCAGGAUUCGAGUGGUUUUCUUCCAGCGUGCCUUUGCCUCCUGCCCUGAACCCAAGAGACAUUUGCACAAGGAAGGCACAAAGAUGCUGUGACAGGGGAUGGAUAACUACUAUUUACUGCCUGGAUCCCGAGGCACACAUCACCAGGUCUGCAGCUAGCACCGCUCAAGCGAUGCAUUGUAUUCACUAGCACAAGGACGAUCCCAGCACAGAUGAAAGAAGUCUCCCCCUGGGUCAAGAGGAAUGGAAGAUGAAAGAUGAGAGUGACACACGUGCCUAAUUUACCUUCAGGAGCAAUAUUUUUUUGGUCUUUGUAUGGGAAAGUAUGAGGCAUUGGUAAGGGCGCAUCUGGAAUAUCUCCUGCAGGCCGGAUCAGUCGUGUCCAUGAAUGAGGCAUUCAGAGCAGGCAGGUGGUGGGAAGUGCCAGGACAUGGACAGGAGGAUGGAGAACUUGUCAUCUGAUGGGAGGCUGCAGAGCUGGGCCUUUUUUAGCUCAGCACAACAGCGGUGAGAGGGGAAAUGAGUGCCGUUGCACACGAAAGGUAAAAAUAGCUGGGAGCAAAAAGAAACACUGGAGUGAAAGAAAAAACGUUGGCACGAGAACAAGUAGGUUUUAAUUGGCCUGGAGUAAAUUUAGUCUGGAAAUUAGAUGAAGUUUCCUAAGCAUCAGAUCAGCAAAGUCCUGGAACAGACUUCCAGGGACUGUGAAAACAGGGCUUGCUCAGAUGACAAAUAGGUUUGAGCGUGGCGGCGGCUCUGAGAACAGGAGCUCAGUGUGGUGAGCUGCAGGCCCAAACCGCGUGCACCCAUGUUUUUGGGGAGAUAUAAAGAUAUAAAAGAGGAUAGCAGCAAGGUAGAGCUGCAAGGCAGCAGCGGUCCAAUGUGCAGGUGAAGAAAUACUCCACCCUGGGGAGCUCCCUGGUCCAUCUUCCUUGUAAGCUUGCAACAUCUGCCAAAUCGCUAA